rnacentral:rRNA from 1 species
CUCGCUCUGAUUCGGCCGUGAAGACAGGACAUGCUGCUCGCUCUGAUUCGGCAGUGAAGACAGGACAUGUUGCUCGUUCUGAUUUGGCCGUGAAGACAGGUCAUGCUGCUCGCUCUGAUUCAGCCGUGAAGACAAGAUAAGCUGCUCGCUCUGAUUCAGCCGUGAAGACAAGAUAUGCUGCUCGCUCUGAUUCAGCCGUGAAGACAAGAUAUGCUGCUCGCUCUGAUUCAGCCGUGAAGACAAGAUAUGCUGCUGCUGCUGAUUACCAAAUGACAUACUGAACUCCGUAUUAACAUUUUCGCCGCGGCCAAAUGGCAUUCCAUUGCCAGAAGCAUCAAUGUGCUGAGACCCCAUGCCGUUGCCAAGGCUGACGGCCAAAUUUUCCCUGCUGACCAGAUCAGCAUUCCUCAAGUUUGCAAUGUCACCACGGCUGACCGCCAAGGCUUCCCUGCUAGCGGCAUCGGCGGUCCUCCAGGCCAUGCGCGUGAAGUUACCCCAGAGGCCCCGCAUAACGGCAGGCCUGUCCCCACUGCUGCUAGUGCUCCCACCGGCAGAGGCAGCAGGCUGCUGGGCCUCAGAGCUGAUGCAGUUCCUCACGGUGAGCUCCUCCACCUUCUCGUCGGCGUUGCAGCCCGCCAGGCAGCGCUGCUGCUGGGUGACGCUGCCGGGCCUGGACGACUCGGAGCGCGACAUCCCGACGCUGGGCGUCCCCAUCACGCCGUCCGUGCCGGUGCCGGUGCCCAUGGAGUUGAAGAAGGAGAAAUGCUCCGACCACUCGAUUUCGCGGGCGUGCGGCAGCGGCGUGGCGGGCAUCUCGACCGGCUCGCUGCCCGUCGGCAGCUGCUGCUGCUGCUGAUGCUGAUGUUGCUGCUGCGCGGCCUGGCCGCUCUCCUUGCCGCCCUUAACCUGCACAUCCCCGCCGCCGCCGGCCGCCUCCGCCGCCCGAGUCCCCUCCAUCCCCGCGCGAAACCUAGCCACGCGCUUGGGAUAACAAGAUCACGGCCCACCGCAGCAUCCGCCUCACGAUUCAGUAGCCGCGAGUUGGAGUCGGCGGGCACAAGCACAAGCACAAGCUGGAGUCGCGCCGGCCACGAAUCCCGCCGCAGAGGUGGGACCACGGCCCCGCGCGGGCUACCUGCAGGCCACAAAACGAAGCGGAGAGUUGAGGAUUCGCCGGCCCGGGAAGCGGAACGGCACGCCCGCACCAAAUCAGGGCCACCAGAACGAACCGCGGGAUUAGAGCCGCCGCCGCGGGAAGGGAGGGGAAGGGGGAGUUUCCCGAAAGGGAAAGGCGCCUAGGUUCCCUGGUUUCUAUGCCGGGCCGCGGGCGUGCGGAAGAGGGGGGG